rnacentral:rRNA from 1 species
GGCGGCCGCGGGAAUUCGAUUAGAGUUUGAUCAUGGCUCAGGACAAACGCUGGCGGGGUGCAUAAAACAUGCAAGUGGAACGGACUUCAGUCCGCAAGGACUGAAGUGAGUGGCGAACGGCUGAGUAACACGUAGGUGACCUGCCCCGAAGUUUGGGAUAACAACUCGAAAGAGUUGCUAAUACCGGAUGUGACCACCGAUUCAUUUCGGUGCUUAAAGUCGCAAGACGCUUUGGGAGGGGCCUGCGGCGGAUUAGCUAGUAGGUGUGGUAACGGCAUACCAAGGCUUCGAUCCGUAGCUGGUCUGAGAGGAUGGCCAGCCAGACUGGGAUUGAGACACGGGCCAGACUCCUACGGGAGGCAGCAGUUAGGAAUUUUGCGCAAUGGAGGAAACUCUGACGCAGCCACGCCGCGUGAGGGAUGAAGGCCUUCGGGUCGUAAACCUCUUUUCGCAGGGAAGACACCCGACGGUACCUGAGGAAUAAGCAACGGCUAAGUUCGUGCCAGCACCCGCGGUAAUACGAAUCACUAGUGAAUUCGCGGCCGCCUGCAGGUCGACCAUAUGGGAGAGCUCCCAACGCGUCGAAUGC